rnacentral:rRNA from 1 species
GUGGGGAAUAUUGGACAAUGGGCGAAAGCCUGAUCCAGCCAUGCCGCGUGUGUGAAGAAGGUCUUCGGAUUGUAAAGCACUUUAAGUUGGGAGGAAGGGUAGUAACCUAAUACGUUGCUACUUUGACGUUACCGACAGAAUAAGCACCGGCUAACUUCGUGCCAGCAGCCGCGGUAAUACGAAGGGUGCAAGCGUUAAUCGGAAUUACUGGGCGUAAAGCGCGCGUAGGUGGUUCGUUAAGUUGGAUGUGAAAGCCCCGGGCUCAACCUGGGAACUGCAUCCAAAACUGGCGAGCUAGAGUACGGUAGAGGGUGGUGGAAUUUCCUGUGUAGCGGUGAAAUGCGUAGAUAUAGGAAGGAACACCAGUGGCGAAGGCGACCACCUGGACUGAUACUGACACUGAGGUGCGAAAGCGUGGGGAGCAAACAGGAUUAGAAACCCUUGUAGUCC